rnacentral:rRNA from 1 species
GACGAACGCUGGCGGCGUGCCUAACACAUGCAAGUCGAACGGAAAGGCCCUGCUUUUGUGGGGUGCUCGAGUGGCGAAGGGGGGAGUAACACGUGAGUAACCUGCCCUUGACUUUGGGAGAACAUCAGGAAACUGGGGCUAAUAUAGGAUAGGAGAUCCUGCUGCAUGGUGGGGGAUGGAAAGUGUCGGCUGUAUGGGAUGGACUCGCGGCUUAUCAGCUUGUUGGUGGGGUAGGGGCUUACCAAGGCUUUGACGGGUAGCCGGCCUGGGAGGGUGACCGGCCACCUUGCUCCUGCGGUACGCCGCAGUCUGGUACGGGAGGCAGUGGUGGGAAGUAUUGCACAGUGAGCCGGAGCCUGUUGUGGCGGCGCUCCGUGCGGGAUGCCGUCUUAUUGGUGAUGAACCGCUUUCGCCUGAGACGAAGCGUUAGUGACGGUAAUUAGUAAAGAAGCACCGGCUAACUACGUG